AGAAAUAUAAUGAAAGAAUGAAUUCCUUUAUAUCAGGAAACGACUAUCAACGUGUUGUUGGUGUGGUAUCAACGACCUCUCUGAAAACUCUCUCACAAAAACCUAUAUUCAAUCAUUAACCAUCAUUGGAUACCAUCCAUUUCAGUUCCUUCAUUCUUUCACCUGUAACAGACGGCUUACUCAGGUAAGACUUCUUCCUCCUCCCCUUCCUCCACCGGAGUAAAUAGCUGCUUCUUCUUAAAAAUUCCUAACCGGAAAGGAAAUAAGAUAAUGGGACAUGCCGGCAUAACCACUGCUAUUUCAUCUGCAGCUCUUGUUCGUUUUCACUCGAUCUCACGAUUGAUCACGCAUCUUCAUCAUCCCGCUACUUGUACCCAUUUUGCUCUCUGUGUAGCCCCUUCUCGAAGUCAAAUUUAAAUCAUACAAGAGAGGAGGCGUUCAGUUUCUUCUAGCCUAUGGAUAUUAAAUAUCUUAACACUGUGAAGCUCUAUUAUAUUCUGAGCUGAAGCGGCCAGCAACAGGAGUUCAGGGUGCUUCGAAGGCACACAAGGUUUGAAAAAAUGCUGAGUGCCAUAUGUGAAGCCCCGCUUCAUAAGCAAUCAUUUCUUAAGUUAAUGUCAUCAUUGUUGGAGGCCCUUUUGUUGGAAUACUCACAGUUUCAGCCAUGAGCUUUCCUCAGAAUGUAGUGUUUUGUUAAAUUCAGAUAUCGGCAAAAAGGGCACCUAAUAACUAUUUGGACAACACGAGAAAACCUCAGCUCCAUUCCCUUUUAUAGCUCGUCUAUGCAAGAUCUAGAAAGUA
rnacentral:lncRNA from 1 species